rnacentral:lncRNA from 1 species
GUCAGUUGGGCACCUUCUUCCUCUCUCCCUUCCCGCUUAUUCUGAGUGGCGGGGAUUAGCGGUGUUUGCCCCUGGAUAAAAUCUGAGAAGCCCUCCCUGGAGGGUGAAUAAUCGGCCACAGGAGGACUAGAGCUCCUCAGAGAAUCACCCCACCUUGGAGAAGCUGAGCAGAGCUGGUGGUGACUCCUCUGGAAUUCCACGGCAGAUACGGAGGGAAGGAAAAAGGACCAUGUGUCUAAAAACCCUAAUGGGAUCCACCCCAAAUUUUGGCAACAAGAUGGGGGAGGUCACCAGCCUUCCUGACUUCUUCCUGCCUAGAAUGAAACGUGGCCGUUGGAAUGCCCUGCCAACUUCACAUAGCACACAAGGAUCAGAUGUAUUUUACCGUUGAGAAGAAGGAAAAGGAGACUGAGUCAUGUACUGGAUCAACCGUGUCCUCUCAAAACGCUGGUGGGGAAGCACACAACCUCCUUAAGAAAUCAGCAAAACCAGUCAUCAGGAUAUUCAGAAGGGGAAGAAGACGGUGGGGCAUCUGAAAGUCAGGUCUGAUGAGAAAUGAUUGAGGAAACUGACUUUUACUCUGUGGAGUUUCAAAGGAAAGAAAUAGGACCGGGUCUUGCCAAGUUUGACGGCCAAGUGAGAACAGUGAAAAGGAUAGUCUUGAAACAUUGGAUGAAAGAUAUAUUUCCUUUGGUGCAAGAUCCCAAGAAAUCUGCACAAUUCCAAAAUGAGGAGAAUGGGAAUUCCACAAAAACAGCUGCCAACAUUUUCAGAGAGCAACAAGGAGGAAUGUUUCCCACUUUGGCAGACUUUAAGGGUAGACAAAACUGGUCUCUUUUUUUGGAAAAAGAUGUCUGACAGCAUGCAUGGGCUCAAGGAGGAAAGAAUUCUUAACUUUCAAGCUGCAAAGAACUAACCAACUCUCAUUUGGGAAAAUCCUUUCUUGAACUAAGGAUUUUAGAACAAAACCAAUCUUCAAUAUUUUAAAUAUAUAUUUCUCGAGUUUCAAGUCCUGUGGUUGAAAGAAACAAGGAAACACAAGCAAAAUAACACCCACACUCAAAUGUGUGAUAUAUCACAUUUUAACCCAGUGACUUCCAUCAACACAUUAACUUUUAUUGCAAACCUUGGAGUAAACUUCUGAUGAUGUAAUAUGUGAUUCAUUGUAAUUAUAAGCUCAGCUAUUAAAAAAGACUUUAUUAACAGCAUCUACUUCUAUCUAUAAAUUGAGAUUUUUCUCAUAUCUAUGCAACUGAAACAAAAUACAGGAAUAUUUUGAAAGCUCAAGACUUUCCACAUCAAGCAUAAUGCUCACUUCUCUCUUUGUGUGCCUCAGAAUAGCCUCCUGGUUUUUAUUGAUUGUCUUUAUCAUCAGCUCUCAUAAAAUACCACCUUCAUCUGUUUUUUUACACGGGGAUUCCACACAAGGUUUCCUU